UGUGCCACUGCACUCCAGCCUGGAUGACAGAGAGAGACACUGUCUCUUAAAAAACAAACAAAAACACUCCCUGUGCUAAACCUGCAUGUGAAAAGUCAGCUUUUUUUCUACAGAGAUGAACUAAGAAAUUACUUGAUGGAAAAGAAUCCUGAAUUUAAAAAAGAUGCUGUGAAUGUCACGUAUGCUUCCUGGCUACACUCAAGUUCUCAAGGAAUGGAUGUGCCUGAUCCCCUGUCUUACCAGAUAAGGGCCCUCACUGAGGAUGCUCUAGGAACCCACAAGGUGAAGAAGAGGUGCCCCUUCCUUGAAGGUGGCCUUUUCAAUCCUUCCAGCUACCAGUCAGUCCACAAGCACUUAUGGGACACCAGACCUUGCCUGGAGCAGCCUUGGGGAAUCAAAUAGGAGCCAGUCCCUGCCCUCCAGAAACUGUGUGUCUGGGGGAGAAGAUCACACACAGGAAAAUCAAGUGGUGACAAGAGGUGCCAUGAGACAGUAUAUAGUUCAUUUCCCCACCGCAAGAGUAAAGGGCUUAGGGUCAGAGGCUUUGGUGCCUGAGUUCUGACUCUGCCAAUUAUUAGCAUUGGGACCUCAGGUAAGUUACAGAUCUGAGCUGUAGUAUCUUGUCUAUAAAGUGGGGAAAACAGGGACCCUCGUAAAAUACAAAAUCACCAUUAGACCAACAUUAUAGUAAUAACUACUGCAGGCAAGAUCUGCUGGUGGAUCUAAAUUCAGUGGACAGGAGUUAGAGAAGAAAUAGGCUAUUCAUAGUCUCAAAGUAUCUCCCUCAGGGUGCUUACCAGUUAUGAAAAGAAAAACAAUAAUUUUACUAUGGAGAAUCCUACCAGAUACCACCUUAAUCAAGUGAUCAAGGUUGACACAACCUGUAGUAAGACAAAUCAGCAUGAGGUACCUGCUAGUGAUAGGGACAGGAGGCAGAGAAAUUCUAGGCAGAAAAGAGCGGGUCCCAGCGAAAACCCCACCCUCAAGCUGAAAAGCCUGAAACCAUGGCCCAAAGUGAGAAUUUCUAUUCCUGUUUUCCCACUCAAAUGUUGCGUUUUCCUAAAUCACCCAUGGCCCUGCCCCACCCCAUCCUGUGCCUAUAAAAACUCCAGACUCAGCUGGCAGAGAGGAGAAGCAGCGGGACAUCAGGACUAUGGCUGGACGUCAGAGAGAAGCAGCUUAACUUCAGAGGUGCAGCUUGAUGGUGUAACUUAGGAGAAGAAUCUGACUGGAGACGGCCAGACUUCAGAAGAAGAUGACCUACCCCCCCAUCCCCUUUUCAGCUUCCCUUCCCGCUGAGAGCCACUUUUAUUGGCAAUAAAAUCCUCCACAUUUACCACC
rnacentral:lncRNA from 1 species